CGCAGAUAAGCGGCGAGGCACGCCGGCAAGCCCGGCUCCUGGGCGCUGGGCAGCGGCACUGCAGCCGGAGGCCGCCCGAGGGCCGCGGGGAGGCGGCGCGGGGAGGGGACGCGAGGGGAGGUGGCGGGGGGCUCGCCGGCCACCCGGGCCCUCGCCACAAAUAGUUUCUCGGUUAGGGAAUUCGCCGGCAGGGCCAGGCAGGGAACAGUCAGUUCCAACUGUCCCCCAAGCGGCUCCUGCUGCAUUUCUGAGGCCCUUUCCCCAGAGACCUGGCAGGCCAAGUAGGGAAACAUUCGCUGGAAGGAAUCCGGGGGGGAGCCGGAGCCCGGAGGAGGCCUUCCUCCUGCACCAGGCCGUCAGUGGUGGGUGUGCCCGGGGAGGCGGUGUCCCCUCGCGUCCACAGAUGUGUGCACCCUUGUCUCGCCCGCCGUGUGUGUCUGCACCCUGGUGUGGGCACGGCGCGGUGGCUGUGGGUGUGGAUGUUUAUGUGCGUGCACAGACAAAUGCCUUCUCUGUGUGCCUCCCUCCACGAGAGCCUCUAGUGCGUGCGCCCGCUUGCGGGUGCGUGUGUGGCAGGACAUGGCCUGUGUCUUCCAGCUCCGUAGACAGGAACCAAGGCAGACGAGGCGGGAAGGAGAGGGAGACAGAGACACAGAGAGAGAGGCCCACACCAUUGAAGCGAUGCUGCUAACCCAAGGUGAAGCCUGGUCCUGGUGUGAGUUCACUUCCGGUGAGCCUUCACCACUAUGCACCGCUGUGCCGUCAGCCUCCUGGGAGCAAGGCAAGGCUUGCCUUGGGGUCUCCAGGGUCCUGCUCCAUAAGCAGGUGUAUGAUAAAGCUCGCCGCUCCCUCCUGACCAGUGUGGGGACAGUCUCCUGUGGCUUAACGUCCUGCCCCUCACCCCCGGGGAGCUUCUGAGGCCUCAGCUACUGCUCUGACCAGGUGGUCAGAGGGAUUUCUGCCAACCACUACAUUCUCAGGUCUGGGAUGUCACCUGAGUGAAGAAAAAUGAGUAGAAAAAAAUACAUGUACAUUUCCUUGACAAAUGUUUCAGGGAAAUCAAACCAAAUGUCAGCUGGCAGCUGAAUGUAUAGGUAAAACCUGCCUGGAGGCACCCAUGGGCCUGGUCUCCCAGGUACCUUCAACUCUCUGAGGAGUCAAGGGCGGGCCCUGCCCUGCCCACAGGGUCUGAGAGCACCUUUACACUGCAUGGGUGGGGGCUGAGAGCGCCCUGCCCUUCCCCUCCGAACCCGACACUCUGUCUCUCCCUACGGUCAGCCUGGAGUGCACCUGCCUUCCCUCUGUCCCUCCCCACGGUCAGCCUGGAGUGCACCUGCCUUCCUGUCAUGACAUACUUCCUCCCUGAUUGUGUCCGGCCCCACAGAAGGCCCUGGACUCCCGUCAGCUGCAUCCUCAGCUCCGUGAGGCUCAGUGUGGCCCCUCUUCUUCUCCCAUCUCCCAACCUGAACCCUUUUACUGUGUGGUCUAUCAGAAAUAAAAUUUCCAAUAUGCUUGGCCACUUCGGUGAACAGCCCUUUUGCCUUCUUGUGAGAGAAGCCCUCCAGAGACCAUACUGCCCCCGAAAACUGCCCCUGGUCGUGACAGUAUUUUCCCCAGAGCACCCCUACCACUGGCCUCAAGGUGGGGUAGAGACCCUCCCCGCCCCUCGGGAACACUCACUGACGCCCAUCCUCUUCUUGCUACUUUUCGGGAUCUUCAUGGAUGACCCUUGCCACACCUCGGGUCUCUCAUUCCUCGGACACCUCUCCUCUAGAAAUCCCCCAACCUUCCCUCAGCCAGUUGCUCCAAGUCACCUCUUGGGUCUUAUUCCAGCAGCUGCAGCCCCGUGCCCCAAUAUCAGCCUUAAGCACCUCCCUCUGACCACCAUCUCCUGUCCUUCCAGCUCACUCUGUCCG